GAAUAUAUGUUGCUAAUAGAAAGGGAUGGAGGUAGAGGGAACCACUGUGGAGAGAGUAGUUUAUGAGCGGCUUGGAGAAGGAAGAUAAGAAAGAAGAGAAAGGGGAGGAGGUGGAGGACAGGUGCAUGGAGGUUGAGAGAGUGGUCAUGGAGGAGGAAGAAGAAAGAGGGAUGCCAAAGGCGGAGGAGAAUAGGAUGAAUCGGAG
rnacentral:lncRNA from 1 species